rnacentral:rRNA from 1 species
CGAGGCAGAAAUGCGUAGCUGAUGGGAAACAGGUUAAUAUUCCUGUACCUGGAGGUAGUGACGAAUCCCGUGUGUUGUUUACCCUUAUUGGAUUGGGUAGGCCGCGAAGGGGUUCCAGGAAAUAGCUCCUCCAUUAUAGACCGUACCCCAAACCGACACAGGUGGUCUGGUAGAGUAUACCAAGGCGCUUGAGAGAACUAUGUUGAAGGAACUCGGCAAAAUGCUCCCGUAAGUUCGCGAGAAGGGAGACCUCCACUUAGGCAACUAGGUGGGGGUGGCACAGACCAGGGGGUGGCGACUGUUUACUAAAAACACAGGACUUUGCAAAAUUGAAUAAUGAUGUAUAAAGUCUGACGCCUGCCCAGUGCUGUAAGAUGAAACUAAUAAAUAUAGGUUUAUUCAGAUAAGUCCCAGUAAACGGCGGCUGUAUUCCUGACGGUCCGAAGGUAGCGAAAUUCCUUGGCAGGUAAAUUCUGUCCUGCACGAAUGGCGUAACGACUGCCUUACUGUCUCCAAUUAUAAUUCAGUGAAAUUAAAUUUUAGGUGAAAAUGCCUAAUUAGAACAGCGGGACGGAAAGACCCUAUGCACCUUUACUGGAAUCUUAUAUUGGUUUAGAUGAUUGGCGCGAAUAGUUAUUUUAAUUUUUAUUCUAAUAAUUAAUUAAGACAUAGUCUAAAUCUACAAAAUUAAAUAAAAGCAAAAUAUUAAUUUAAAAUUUUAUUUUGUAAGAAUGCCAGUUUCACUGGGGCGGUGACCUUCAAAAAAGUAACGAAGGUGGGUAAAAUUUUAACAAAGUAUAAAUUUUUAUAUGAUGAAUUUCAAUGAGUAUAGUUAAAAUUGAUUAAAAAAUCAACAAAUUUUUUAAGUAUAAAUUGUAUAUUUUAUAAAUCAUAGUGACCCGAUAAUUUUGAUUGAUAAAUUUAUCGAUUAACGGAUAAAAGGUACGCUAGGGAUAACAGGCUAAUGACUUUUGAGAGUUCUCAUUGAUAAAGUAGAUUGGCACCUCGAUGUCGGCUUAUCAUAUCCUGGUUGUGAAUAAUCUUCCAAGGGUCGGUCUGUUCUACCGUUAAAAUGGUACAUGAGCUGGGUUUAGAACGUCGUGACACAGUUUGGUCCCUA